GACGAACGCUGGCGGCGUGCUUAACACAUGCAAGUCGAGCGAGGCCAGGGGGGCAACCCCCUGAGUCGAGCGGCGGACGGGUGAGUAACACGUGGGUAACCUACCCGGAAGUGGGGAAUACCUCGGGGAAACUCGAGCUAAUACCGCAUGACAUCUUUGGGGCGAAAGUCCUGACGAUCAAAGCGGGGUCGCAAGAUCUCGCGCUACCGGAUGGGCCCGCGCCCGAUUAGCUAGUUGGUGAGGAACGGCUCACCAAGGCUUCGAUCGGUAACCGGCCUGAGAGGGCGAUCGGUCACACCGGAACUGAGACACGGUCCGGACUCCUACGGGAGGCAGCAGUGGGGAAUCUUGCGCAAUGGGCGAAAGCCUGACGCAGCAACGCCGCGUGGAGGA
rnacentral:rRNA from 1 species